AACGCACCUUGCACGCGCUGGGGAACCAGCGCGUAUGCCUGUUUGAGAAUCGCCUACACCUUGGCCGCCAGCGGUGCGGCUGCGUUGGGGGUCCGGCCUAGCGGUCCGUCCUCCUGAAUGGAGCAGUGGGGUCCUGCAGUGUCCUCUGUGUGCUGGAGACCGGUCGAGUCUACUCACGGGGGGCGCGGCACGGCGCCUGGUCUUGGCUCUGCCUCGGCUCUGCCUUGGUCUGCCUCGGCCCUGCCGCCAGCCCCGCUAAGCAGGCUGCAAAAAGCAGCAGGCACAACCAACCACCAACCCGAUCUCAAAUCAGGCAAGACCACCCGCCGAACUUAA
rnacentral:misc_RNA from 1 species